rnacentral:rRNA from 1 species
CCUACGGGGGGCGGCAGUGGGGAAUAUUGGACAAUGGGCGAAAGCCUGAUCCAGCCAUGCCGCGUGUGUGAAGAAGGCCUUCGGGUUGUAAAGCACUUUCAGUGGGGAAGAAAGCCUUGGGGCUAAUACCCUCGAGGAAGGACAUCACCCACAGAAGAAGCACCGGCUAACUCCGUGCCAGCAGCCGCGGUAAUACGGAGGGUGCGAGCGUUAAUCGGAAUUACUGGGCGUAAAGCGCGCGUAGGCGGUCUGAUAAGCCGGUUGUGAAAGCCCCGGGCUCAACCUGGGAACGGCAUCCGGAACUGUCAGGCUAGAGUGCAGGAGAGGAAGGUAGAAUUCCCGGUGUAGCGGUGAAAUGCGUAGAGAUCGGGAGGAAUACCAGUGGCGAAGGCGGCCUUCUGGACUGACACUGACGCUGAGGUGCGAAAGCGUGGGUAGCAAACAGGAUUAGAUACCCCAGUAGUC